CUCUAGUCCUCUCUAUUUUCUGUAAAUGGGUAGUUUGAUCUAGAGAGCCUUCAUCAAACUGAGAGAGGGUAGAAUAAUAGGGAAGGAGGAAGAAAAGAUUCAGAUAAGAAUGGGCUUAUAGGUUUGGUAAAAACAAGUGAGAAAAUUCCAGAUUGUAGCUACUAUCAUUUUUCCAAUGAUGUAGAAAAGGAGGAUAUCAGUUGAGAAUGAGCUAAAAGGUUUGAAAGGGAUAACAUAUGAAGGGUCUAAUACACAAUUAGACACUGAAGUAGUAGCUUUAUGUUACUUGCAGUUUUAGAGACUUUGUCUGAUUACAUAAUACUAGUGCAAUAUGAAGUAAUUAGAGAACAUUCAAAGUAUCUUUGGUCUGCUAGAGUGUUUAAAACUCUUUGAGAAAAUGUUUACAAUGUAUUAAAGCAUUGUAAAAUACUCUUUUAUAUGUUCAUGUUUUGGUGGGUUACAGUGUUUUGAGUUAAAGCCAACUUUUAAUUGAUUUCAUGCAAUAAGAAAAACUACUAGUUAUUUUAAAUCUCAUAAUAUUAAAAAAUUGCUCAUAAUGAAACCUCUAAUCCUUUACUUAGAGAAAGUUAUUUUUGAAUAAAAAUCUUGCCUUCAUCUGUAUUAAAAUAUCUGACUCAUGAAAUCUAAGUUCUUUUUAAGUAACCUUCUAAUAGCUACUAAAUAAAGACAUAUAUUUUUUAAGAAGUAUCUUUCUAUGUUACUCAGGCUGGCCCUAAACUCUUGAGUUCAAGUGAUCCUUCCAUCUCAGCCUCCUAUCUAUCUAUCUGGGAUUACAUGUACCAGCCACUGUGCCCAGCCUAAAUGAAGAUCUUUGAAAAACUGAACAUGUUGAUUAAUUUUUUAAUAGACUACGUAUAUGCCAAUUUUCAACUUUAUUUUUAAAGAAGAACUGGAAGAAUUAAAACAUGUAGUUUUUGUCUAGUAGUCCUCUGACUACAUAUUAUAGCAUUCCUAGUUCUACAUUGAGGUGAACAAGAUUGAACAUAUAGGAAGGAACAAAUACUAGAUUCAACUCACAAAAAUAUACUGAUAUAAUCACAGAUACAGUAAUUCACAUUGAAAAUGCCAACAUUUUCUAUUUCUUCCUGGUCAGUUUUGAUAGCUUUUCUCUUUCUAGAAAUUUGUCCUAGAUUUCAUGAUAUCCAAUUUGUUGACAUACGAUGGUUCAUAUAAUAUUCUCAUAAUACUUUCUAUUGCUGUAAUGUAUCCCAUUUUUUAAAUCUGAU
rnacentral:lncRNA from 1 species